rnacentral:rRNA from 1 species
AAUAGAUACCCAGGUAGUCCACGCUGUAAACGGUGGGUACUAGGUGUGGGUCCAUUCCACGGGUUCCGUGCCGUAGCUAACGCUUUAAGUACCCCGCCUGGGGAGUACGGCCGCAAGGCUAAAACUCAAAGGAAUUGACGGGGCCCCGCACAAGCGGCGGAGCAUGCGGAUUAAUUCGAUGCAACGCGUAGAACCUUACCUGGGUUUGACAUGGAUCGGGAGCGCUCAGAGAUGGGUGUGCCUCUUUUGGGGUCGGUUCACAGGUGGUGCAUGGCUGUCGUCAGCUCGUGUCGUGAGAUGUUGGGUUAAGUCCCGCAACGAGCGCAACCCUUGUUCACUGUUGCCAGCACGUUAUGGUGGGGACUCAGUGGAGACCGCCGGGGUCAACUCGGAGGAAGGUGGGGAUGACGUCAAGUCAUCAUGCCCCUUAUGUCCAGGGCUUCACGCAUGCUACAAUGGCUGGUACAGAGAGUGGCGAGCCUGUGAGGGUGAGCGAAUCUCGGAAAGCCGGUCUCAGUUCGGAUUGGGGUCUGCUAACG